rnacentral:rRNA from 1 species
GGAAUUAGACCUAAAUCAUAGAGAUAGCUCUCAUGAUACUUUAUGUCUGCUUCCCAAGAAGUAACUUUCUCCCUAAAACUAGUAUCCGUACCCCCAAUUGACAAUGGGUCAGGUGCCAAUAUUUUGAGUAUCUCUAUUUCUUCAUCUACAAUAUCAUCCACUUUUUUCACUUGUUGAAUUUGGAAUUUAGUUGGAUCCUGUUCCACUGCACUCUUUGCUUCACCUUCAAAUUUUUUUUUGACAAAACAAUAUGGUUGAUGUUUUUUUGAAGUAGAAUUUCCUAUAAAAUACUCGCUCCAAAAAUAAAUUUGUGAGUCAGAAGGAUUAUAAAACUUGAGGAAAACAGAUUUUUUUUCCCCGACAUAAAAAGAUGAAAGUAGCAAGGACGGUAUAUCCUCAGGUAGUUUUUUUAAAUAAUAUUCAUCUUUCUUCUCUGAUGUCAAAUUUACUUGCUGCACUAUUGUUUAUUUUAUUCUUCCUUUUAAAAAUUAAUUAGUUUGGUAUAGAUUUAGCAAGUCUGGUAUGUUACAGUAAUAUGUAAAGGGUUAUCAUACUCUGAUUGAUGUAAUUAAGAAUUAGUCCCGAUUAAUAAGAUAUUCUCAAACAUUUCGAGAGGAUAAAUCAGACGUCUAUGACGAAUCCAGAUCUUUAGGCGAUUACCUUACUCACAUAUACAUUUUCAAUAACAGUGAGGUUCCACUGUUAAAUCUGAUUCGUGUUUUUUACAAGUUAUACUAAAUGAAGACUACGUUAAACCGUACACUUUGGUUUUUAAUUAUAAUCGUCCCUGAUAUAUGUAGAUGGUGUGCAGUUGUUAGGCCAAUCGUUUUUUAUGUAAUUUCAUAGGGAUUGGGAUUAGGAUUGAACUGUAUGGUGGAAAUAUUUUUGAUAUUUUUUGUAACCCUAAAGUUAAUAUUAUCAUUUAACUAAACACUUGUGAACGCAUCCAAGACAAAAGGCGGCGUCGGUAAUGAAGUUGGCUAAUGCCACAAUGUGAUUUACAGACCUCCAGGUGCGCUCUUUACAAUAAUCAUAGAAUCAUGAGUAUUUCGGUAUGAGAUCGAGCCUAUAUGGAUCGAACAUUAAAAUACAUGUAAAUAGAUUCAUCACAACGUAUUGGAGAUUCGAUCAAAAAAAUCAGUGCUGACCUGAUAGAUUGAAUCUGACAUGGGAAUGAUCAGAUAGAUGAUAUCGAAGUAUAGAUCACUAUAAUGCUAUUAUAAUUGCAUUAAAGAUGAUCCUAUAGAACAAAUCUAGCUAAUGUGUGAUUUAUUUAUUUGUACUAAAAAACAACAUACAAAUCUAGUUUUUCGAUCGUACUCUUUCUCUUUAUUGUAAUCAAAUCAAAUUGAUAUACAAUAAAGAAAGAAACUCAAUAAACGUCCUUUCAAUUUUUUAACUUAACUUUUCUUUGCUAUUUCUCCUAUCCUAAUAAGAUAGAAGAACAAGAAUAGAGGAGGAGAAAGGAAAGGAAAGGAAAAGUUAGGAAAAAAAGAAAUGAAAUGGACGAUAAAAGUUCAACCGACGAUUUAUAAUAAAGUAAAUAAUAAUUCUACAGCCAUUAUUUACUUUAUUUGACUCCGGUUGAUCCUGCCGGACCCGACUGCUAUCAGAGUGGGACUAAGCCAUGCGAGUCAACAUAGCAAUAUGUGGCAUACGGCUCAGUAACACGUAGUCAACAUGCCCAGGGGACGUGGAUAACCUCGGGAAACUGAGGAUAAACCGCGAUAGGUCAUCACUUCUGGAAUGGGUAAUGACUUAAAUCUAUAUGGCCCCUGGAUUGGACUGCGGCCGAUCAGGCUGUUGGUGAGGUAAUGGCCCACCAAACCUGUAACCGGUACGGGCUCUGAGAGGAGGAGCCCGGAGAUGGGCACUGAGACAAGGGCCCAGGCCCUAUGGGGCGCAGCAGGCGCGAAACCUCUGCAAUAGGCGAAAGCUUGACAGGGUUACUCUGAGUGAUUUCCGUUAAGGAGAUCUUUUGGCACCUCUAAAAAUGGUGCAGAAUAAGGGGUGGGCAAGUCUGGUGUCAGCCGCCGCGGUAAUACCAGCACCCCGAGUGGUCGGGACGUUUAUUGGGCCUAAAGCAUCCGUAGCCGGUUCUACAAGUCUUCCGUUAAAUCCACCUGCUUAACAGAUGGGCUGCGGAAGAUACUAUAGAGCUAGGAGGCGGGAGAGGCAAGCGGUACUCGAUGGGUAGGGGUAAAAUCCGUUGAUCCAUUGAAGACCACCAGUGGCGAAGGCGGCUUGCCAGAACGCGCUCGACGGUGAGGGAUGAAAGCUGGGGGAGCAAACCGGAUUAGAUACCCGGGUAGUCCCAGCUGUAAACGAUGCAGACUCGGUGAUGAGUUGGCUUAUUGCUAACUCAGUGCCGCAGGGAAGCCGUUAAGUUUGCCGCCUGGGGAGUACGGUCGCAAGACUGAAACUUAAAGGAAUUGGCGGGGGAGCACCACAAGGGGUGAAGCCUGCGGUUCAAUUGGAGUCAACGCCGGAAAUCUUACCGGGGGCGACAGCAGAGUGAAGGUCAAGCUGAAGACUUUACCAGACAAGCUGAGAGGAGGUGCAUGGCCGUCGCCAGCUCGUGCCGUGAGGUGUCCUGUUAAGUCAGGUAACGAGCGAGAUCCCUGCCUCUAGUUGCUACCAUUAUUCUCAGGAGUAGUGGAGCUAAUUAGAGGGACCGCCGUCGCUGAGACGGAGGAAGGUGGGGGCUACGGCAGGUCAGUAUGCCCCGAAACCCUCGGGCCACACGCGGGCUGCAAUGGUAAGGACAAUGAGUUUCGAUUCCGAAAGGAGGAGGCAAUCUCUAAACCUUACCACAGUUAUGAUUGAGGGCUGAAACUCGCCCUCAUGAAUAUGGAAUCCCUAGUAACCGCGUGUCACUAUCGCGCGGUGAAUACGUCCCUGCUCCUUGCACACACCGCCCGUCGCUUCAUCGAAGUUGGUUCUUGGCGAGGUGGUGCCUAAUUGGUACUAUCGAACCUGGGGUCAGCAACGAGGGAGAAGUCGUAACAAGGUGGCCGUAGGGGAACCUGCGGCCGGAUCACCU